GAUAGUGAUAGGGCGCUAUAACAACGCUCACGAGUAAACACAUAUAUAGUUUUGUAUUUUUCUCCUGCUUUAGUCUGUGAUCAACCAGUCUGAGAGAAAAUGCAGGUUUGUGCAGUUUACAGUCUGCUGUUUCUGUGCUUAAUUGCAGCACGUAAUGGUGACACAGCAUCUUCAACGACAACGACAGCAGUUACUGAUGCCGCAACUACUGCGGGUGGAACUACUGCGGGUGGAAAUGGUGGCGGCUCCACGGCUACAAAUUCCGACGCAACAACUCCUGACGCUACAAGU